rnacentral:rRNA from 1 species
CCUUCGGGUUGUAAAGCACUUUCAGUAGGGAGGAAGGUAGUGUAGUUAACACCUGCAUUAUUUGACGUUACCUACAGAAGAAGCACCGGCUAACUCCGUGCCAGCAGCCGCGGUAAUACGGAGGGUGCGAGCGUUAAUCGGAAUUACUGGGCGUAAAGCGCAUGCAGGUGGUUUGUUAAGUCAGAUGUGAAAGCCCGGGGCUCAACCUCGGAAUUGCAUUUGAAACUGGCAGACUAGAGUACUGUAGGAGGGGGUAGAAUUUCAGGUGUAGCGGUGAAAUGCGUAGAGAUCUGAAGGAAUACCGGUGGCGAAGGCGGCCCCCUGGACAGAUACUGACACUCAGAUGCGAAAGCGGUGGGGAGCAAACAGGAUUAGAUACCCUGGUAG